rnacentral:rRNA from 1 species
GACGAACGCUGGCGGCGUGCUUAACACAUGCAAGUCGAACGGAAAGGCCCUGCUUUUGUGGGGUGCUCGAGUGGCGAACGGGCGAGUAACACGUGAGUAACCUGCCCUUGACUUUGGGAUAACUUCAGGAAACUGGGGCUAAUACCGGAUAGGAGCUCCUGCUGCAUGGUGGGGGUUGGAAAGUUUCGGCGGUUGGGGAUGGACUCGCGGCUUAUCAGCUUGUUGGUGGGGUAGUGGCUUACCAAGGCUUUGACGGGUAGCCGGCCUGAGAGGGUGACCGGCCAAAUUGGGACUGAGAUACGGCCCAGACUCCUACGGGAGGCAGCAGUGGGGAAUAUUGCACAAUGGGCGGAAGCCUGAUGCAGCAACGCCGCGUGCGGGAUGACGGCCUUCGGGUUGUAAACCGCUUUCGCCUGUGACGAAGCGUGAGUGACGGUAAUGGGUAAAGAAGCACCGGCUAACUACGUG